rnacentral:rRNA from 1 species
AUGAAUAUAUUGGCCUGGAACUGUCGAGGACUGGGGUUGGACUCGACGGUGGGCGAAUUACGAGAUCUGAUACGGUCCCACAACCCAGCGGUGGUGUUUUUAUGUGAAACAAAAAAGAAGGCGAGAGCAAUGGAAAGGCUCAAGUGGAGUCUAGGUUUUACUUCGGGUGUAGCAGUGGAUUGCAAGGGCCGCAGUGGCGGUCUAGCCUAUGGUGGAGAGAUCAUGUGCAGGUAA